rnacentral:rRNA from 1 species
GGCGAUGCCAUGAGACAGCACGCCACUUGAAGGGUAGACGCUGUCUGAGAUGGACCGACCUGUUCGACAGGAGCGAUUGUGACGGUACCUGUGAAAUAAGCACCAGUCAACUGUGUGCCCGCAGCCUCGGAGAUACUGAGGGUGCAAGCGUUGUUCUGAUUUAUUGUGAGUAGAGAUCUCGUAAGCUGUUCAGCAAUUCCGGUGAUAAACCCCCAGCCUCAGCCUGUGGCCGCCACCGGAAAGUGUUGUAACUAAAGUUUGGUAGGGGAUCACGGAAUUCCUGGUGUAGCGGUGGAAUGCGCAGAUAUCAGGAGGAACACCAGUAGCGAAGGCGGUGAUCUGGGCCAAUACUGACGCUGAGGAGCGAAAGCGUGGGGAGCGAACGGGAUUAGAUACCCCGGUAGUCCUAGCCGUAAACGAUGACCACUAGAUGUGCGGGGUAUCGACCCCCUGCGUGUCGGAGCAAACGCGAUAAGUGGUCCGCCUGGGGAGUACGGUCGCAAGAUUAAAACUCAAAGGAAUUGACGGGG